rnacentral:ncRNA from 1 species
CUGUGAGGCAUUGGCUGAAAGAAGUGUGAAGGCAUGACCCAAGAGCUCCGACGAACAGAAAUCGCAUCAGGCCGAUAAGCCGGGAGAGCCUCCCAAACAAGGCGUAACCCAAAACUGUAACGUAAGGCAGCAACGGUAAAUGCGGCGGAGCCGGGUUAAGGA